rnacentral:rRNA from 1 species
CGCCAGCAGCCGCGGUAAUACGUAGGGGGCGAGCGUUGUCCGAAUUCACUGGGCGUAAAGCGCGCGUAGGCGGGUUCUUAAGUUGGUGGUGAAAUGCCGAGGCUCAACCUCGGAACUGCCUCCAAAACUGGGAGCCUUGAGGUAUGGAGAGGGAAGUGGAAUUCCUGGUGUAGCGGUGAAAUGCGUAGAUAUCAGGAGGAACACCUGUGGCGAAGGCGGCUUCCUGGCCAUAAUCUGACGCUGAGGUGCGAAAGCUAGGGGAGCGAACGGGAUUAGAUACCCCGGUAGUCCUAGCCGUAAACGAUGGAUACUAGGUGUUAGAGGUAUCGACCCCUCUAGUGCCGAAGCUAACGCAUUAAGUAUCCCGCCUGGGGAGUACGGCCGCAAGGCUGAAACUCAAAGGAAUUGACGGGGGCCCGCACAAGC